UCUAUUUUAAUUAUUUUUUUCUAAAAUCAACACUGGUACCGGGUUCGCGUAUGCACACUGAAUUGGAAACCAAACCAAAGACUGAUGAUCAGCCAAGGUGUCCAUGUUUCAGGAACAGAGAACUCUUUCCCCCUCUGUCUUCCCGAUAUCGGGUCAAGCGAGCAUUUUGAAAGCCUUCCGGAUCUCGAGACCGAUGUCUAUUCAGAGAUGCACUCCAAUGUUACGGGGUUGUUCAGGCAUGGACUGGAAUUGUCCGUAGGUGUGACCAAACAGCUGCCCCGGGACAUGCAGUUCCGUGAGAAUGUUGAAGAGGACCACAUGGUGCGGUGUCAGCGUCAAAUCAACGAUUGGUACCCAGUGUCUUACUAGAUACGUUACACUAGUCGAAGCGAAGAAUGCCUAUGAUGGAAGAAGAGUGACUGAUGUCAUCGAUUUGUGUGAUAACGCCAUAUUGGUGGCCAUAUUGGGGGUCAUGUUAGUGGCAUCUGGAUUUGUUGACUUUCACGUCUUAUUUACGAUCAGUUGUGGUAGAAGUGACCUUGACUUUAUAUUUAUAUAUGUACCCAGGUGAUCAGUUAGUGAUACUGAUAUGUAAACUUUUUUCUAUUCUCUAUUGAUCAGCUUUGUUUAAUGAAGGUUGUAUGCCAACCACUAAUAUGAGCAUUUGAAUACAUUGAACCUUACCUGACUGUUCAACUUAUACUUUGAUAAUCGUCUGAAUCUGAAGAAAAUAUACCUUCAUGAAGGAUCAGUAGUUAAAAAUCAUUGUUGACAACAGAAGAAGAAGUUUUCGAAAGCUCGCAAACUAUAGUAGAAGAUGAAUAUGUUGACCUGUCAUUAAUACUGAUAAAUCGUAUCCCCUACCAUGGAAUGAAAGACAUUUAUUUCUCUAUUCCUUAACCAUAAAACAGGACGGUGAACCACAAAUAAUACACCCGGAUUUGUGUUAGUGGUGUACUCACCCUGAUGACGAGUAUAUAUAAAUCAAAGAUAAUAAAAUUUUGUCUUGCAUAAUUCUUUAUUGAUCUCAAUAUAUUUGAUAAAACAUAUGACGAUGUAAUAUUACAUAAGAUAUAAACAUAGUUUUGAACCUAUCUGUUGUUUAUACAAACAACACAAGUUUGGUAUUACUCAUAGGUAGGAAUUUAAGAACACCAGUGGAGGUGACGUGAUUUUGUGAUAACCCUUGCACAUUGCAGGUCAGUUUAGUGUCUGCGCAUUGUAACGUAGAUAACGUUCAGGAAGUAUAUUUCUACUUCAGUUCUCUCUAUCAGGAGGUCAAAGACUUAAAACAUUAAACGACACGACUGUUGAUCUAAUAAAGUCGGCAAAUGCAGGGCGCACCGUUGAAAACAAGACAUGUUUAAAAAAACAAUAUCUGAUUCUUCGAAAUGGCUCGGAUGUUAAAACCUUCGAUUCUUCAAAUCAGUAUUCUUCACAAAUCUGUGGCCCGAUGUUACACACAAAUAGUGACGACAUUGUUUACCUUUAAUUUUGAUUUGUUAUUGAUAUUUAAGUUAUAUAACAUGAUAAUUGACAUAUUGACGUAUCAAAUGAAUGAAAUGUAUCGAAGAGAAUUGGACACACAAUCAUCAGUAGACUAUUUGAUUUAACUGAUAUCUUGUACAUUUACAUUUCUAUUGUAUCGAAGUUAUUUGCCCCUAAGGACAUGGAUACACCGUUACAAUGCCGAAGAGAGAUAUAUUGUGCCUCUGGACAAUUUUACCUUUAAUUUCGAUUUGUUGAUGAAUCACCACUUUAAAUUACAGAAACAUAGGGUAUACGUGUAUUCUAUAAUACGGUAUUAAACUAAGUUAUACAGGAAAGCCUUCAGAAACAAAAGCAAACUGCAUCUUAUUUGGUUUGAUAAAUUAACUAUUUUGACAUCAAUAUAAACUUAUGUUUGUAUAUUAUCAACGAUAUCAAUAUAGAAAAAUAACGAGAUUUGGAAUGUCAGUUUAGUUUUCAUCAAUUCGAAUAUCGUAUCUGACCGAAACAUACUUAAAAGUAUCGCGAAAAUUCUCUUUCAGGUGAAAUGGCAUGGCUUCCAUACCUGGCCGCGAAAAAAACGUGUAAAAUCCUUACUUUUGCAACUUAAUUCUUUCAGUGUGAGGCUUUUAGCCAGAAUGGCAGUGGUUAAGAACGUAUAGACUUUCAGAAAAAAUAACAUGACAUAAUGACAACUUUUAGAUUCCUACCCAAACAAACAGACAAUGAGAGAAAGACAAACGCUCCGAACAAUACUUCACAGUGACUUACUAAGUUCGAGGAAGACCACUUGGAUACAUAAACAAAAGAAUGGAAACAAUAUUAAGACAUGUGUCUAUAUGUCAUCAUUUUUCAUCAGUGAGAAAUGUUUGAACCUACACAGUUCAUUACACCUGUUAUGUAUGGCAUGGUAUAUGUGUGGACUACAUCACGACUAGGAACCAAAUUGUCAUAUUUCCUUGAAAACAAGGGAAACAAUGAAUCGAAUUUCCUUACAACUAGGGCAACCUAUUGAUAUUAUCAUAAAAAGACAACUUACUCUGUGGUUGUUUAAAAUGACGUGUUACAAUAAUCUAUCCACAAAAUCAGAAAUAUAUGUUUUAGGAUCGGCAAUUACUUCAGAAUUAUACUCAUAUAAUACGGGUAUAUACAUUAAUAUUUGUACAUGUAUAUACUUCUUAAAUCUUAAAUUUUAAGGAAAAUUCAUUGUAUUUCGUAAUAACCAAACUUACCAAAUAAAAUAAACCCCACUACCGGAAAUAACGUGUAACCUACAGAUAAUUUCCUUUUAUGAUUCAUAUAUAUGUUUAAAUCUGAAGAGUAAAUGUUUGUCAUCUUUCUUUGAAAAACAUAAUUUGUUAUUUUGAAUUCUAUAUUUGCUAUUCCGAUAUGUACAUUUUGUAUAUCCUACGUUUUUGUUUAGUCUAUCUUAUCAUACAUAGCGACUAUGUUGUCAUUGUCAUACUAUCAUAAUGUUAAGGUAUUAACUAUAUACCGUUAUUAAACACAUCGGACAAAAACAGAUUUCUGCAUUAAUUAUGACGUCACAACAUCAUAGUAUUACACUAAUUUUGAUGUCAGAUAGGAUGAAGUUUGGAGUCAAAAUAUCGUCAUUUUGGAUUUCAUAUCAGUUUGAGACAAUCUUUCUGAAUGUUUGGAAAAUUAUAUUUUAUGAUGUUAAAAACGUUCAUUGUGAGACUUAUUUAGACUGAAUAGAUCCCCGUUAAAAUGAUCAUUUUCAAACUGGCUUCCUGAUGCCCCAUGGAAUCGAAACUGACAUAAGAUCAAAUAUUUUGCUACAUCUACAAAUUCAAUUUUAGAAUCCGUAUUGCUGUGAACCUCAGCGCCACAUUGAUGUACCCAAUAAAUACAGAACAUCAGUGUUUGAGCAAACAUACAGAAAAGAAAACCAAAUAUCUCUACACCAUGUCAUAUCUAUCAAAUAAAACAACGGCCAUAUCAAUAGGCCCACACAAGCAUGUUUAUUGGCCAAUUGUUCAGACAUUUAAGCCCUAUUUCUUCUCCUCAAAGUGUUAUCUACGUUGUUUGUUAUAUUUAUUUUAUGACACAAGUUCGGUUUGCAUACCUGUACCAUAAGGAUUUUUACCUGUAGUUCCCCAGUCUUUAUCUGUCCUUGUCUGUAUGGCUAAUGGAUAACACGCCGAUAAGCCCCACAGUGUAUGUAUUGAUAUUAUUAUCAACGUAGGAACGACAGGACGGCACAAGGGACUUCCUUUUCUUUCUCCCUAGGGUUUCUAUUGAUUCUGGUUGGGGUCCAGCCAUCAGGUCACUGUGGUAGAGGGGACACUAGUUUACCAAGUAUACCUACCUUUGCGCAUGCAAGUAGUGCCACAGGAAUCCGGUCUAUAACAAGACUUUUAACGUACAAACAAAUACACGUAGGAGUUUAAUGCUAUCGGUACCUCCGGUGUUCACAAAUGGAGCCUUGAGAAUUCGGUACAGUAAAGGAUGUGGGAAAGUUGAAUAGGACGUUUAAAACUAGAUUUUAUUGGAUGUUAUACCGGACGUAAUUUAUUAAGGAAAGAAAACAUCAAUCACCUGGUGGAAAAUAUCAUAAUUACAGACUUUACCUGUCCUCAUAGCUCCGAAUGUUACACGUGUGUACCGUUAAUUAUUUACGUUAUAUCAGUUAUCUGAUACUUUCUAGUUAUGGAACUGAACAGUAUAAAUGUACAAUGUUUACUCUAUAUUGCUUAGUGGUGUUAAAUAAUAAAUAGCAAUGAAAACAAAUCAAUAUCACUUAAAUUUAAUUUGUAUCAGAACUGUGUACGUACCUUUACUAAUACCAUCACAACGUGUCUUGUCUUGACGGAUCGAUUUUGAAAAUCAAUAUUACAUGAUUGCACUGUUAUUUUAUGUUAUAUUCAAUUAUCAGUUAUAGACUUCUAUUGAUGUGAAUAUGAGGUUAUGUGAAC